UUGUGGAGAAGGACGCCGAAGGUGGGGCUGAUGACUGGGGUGAAGUCGUAACAAGGUAGCCGUACCGGAAAGUGCGGCUGGAUCACCUCCUAACAGGGAGACAAUAAAUUGAUUGUGAUGUCUUAGUUUUUAUUCUUAGGCCGCAAUCCUGUCACCUUAAGGUCGAUCGGUACCUCAGAUUUUAGAAUUAAUUUUAUAAUUUAUUCUUUUAUUUCAGUUCCUAAACUUGUCUAGGUCACACCCAACAAAGGUUUCUCCUGGGCCAUUAGCUCAGGUGGUUAGAGCGCACCCCUGAUAAGGGUGAGGUCCCUGGUUCAAGUCCAGGAUGGCCCAUUCGUUGUUGGGGGUAUAGCUCAGUUGGUAGAGCGCCUGCUUUGCAAGCAGGAUGUCAGCGGUUCGAGUCCGCUUACCUCCACUGAUAACUAUCCUGAUAACUAAAUCUGGAGAAAAAUUUGUAGAUGUGACUUAGAAUUGUCUAUUGAAAAGAACCUAGCUUCUUAUCAUCUUAUAUAUAGUUGAUAACAUGCUGGGCUCCCAUGGAUUAAUUUCAUGAGAUUUCAGUAGAACCUUGAAAACUGCAUAGAUUAGAAAGAAUAAAGCAUCUCAUGGAUGCAUAAUUCUGGUUUUGUAAUUUAGCCUUAAAACUAAAUUAUAAUAACAAGAAUUCAUGUUUAAUUCUUGAGUAAAAGCCGAUCACAAUUGAUUUUUUGAUUGUAUUAAGGUCAAGCUACAA
rnacentral:misc_RNA from 1 species